AUUGCUUCUUGGCCUGGUGGCUAAGAUCAAGUGUAGUAUCUGUUCUUAUCAGAUUAACAUCUGAUAGUCCUCUAGCUGAGGACUAUAUUGGAUUUUUGGAGCAGGGAGUUGGAAUAGGAGCUUGCUCUAUCCAUUCCACUUACCUACCUGGUAUUAAAGUACUCCAGGAAUGGUGUACCCCCU